CCUACGGGAGGCAGCAGUGAGGAAUAUUGGUCAAUGGACGCAAGUCUGAACCAGCCAUGCCGCGUGCAGGAAGACGGCUCUAUGAGUUGUAAACUGCUUUUGUACGAGGGUAAACGCAGAUACGCGUAUCUGUCUGAAAGUAUCGUACGAAUAAGGAUCGGCUAACUCCGUGCCAGCAGCCGCGGUAAUACGGAGGAUUCAAGCGUUAUCCGGAUUUAUUGGGGUUAACGGGUGCGUAGGCGGUCGGAUAAGUUAGAGGUGAAAUCCCGAGGCUCAACUUCGGAAUUGCCUUUGAUACUGUUCGGCUAGAGAGUAGUUGCGGUAGGCGGAAUGUAUGGUGUAGCGGUGAAAUGCUUAGAGAUCAGACAGAACACCGAUUGCGAAGGCAGCUUACCAAGCUACUUCUGACGUUGAGGCACGAAAGCGUGGGGGGCAAACAGGAUUAGAUACCCUAGUAGUC
rnacentral:rRNA from 1 species